rnacentral:lncRNA from 1 species
UCACUUUUAGAAUUUUCUCACAAACUAUCAACAUUGGAAAAAAAAAAUCGCAGCGGAAGCAUCGCGGUAUUUUCAAGAAACCGCGAGAUUUGAGGCAUAGACGCUUAAUAAAGGAUGGGAUACAAGAAAAUGGCUUGUCUGCUGGAUCGCGAGAUGAUCUGAAAGUCACGGAAUUUGGGACCCCGGUUGCUACCUGUCCUGCGAUACUGGAGGAGAAAAGAGUUUACAAUCAGGUUUACAGGAACCAGUAAUAUCUGAAAUGCCUGGUGACCUAUGGGCAACUUUGAAAGGUAAUUGAUAACUGCAAGAAUUAAUGACUAUUCCAGUGCUGACCUGGCUAUGCCAAAAUCAGAGUCUUUGAACACCCCACAUAAGCUUUGUGUCUG